GUAGGUCCAGUCCUUCUCGCUAUAAAUUCUUACAAGGACGUGGGGAAUCCUCUCACACUUAGUAGUGCUUCCUCAAGGUGUCCACAGUUACUUCGUGUGGUCCACGAGGCCGUCCGUCAACAGUCAGAGACAGGCUAUCCUCAGGCCAUCAUUCUUGGAGGAGAAAGCGGAAGCGGAAAGACGUAUUCAUCUAUGGUAUUACUACGUCAGUUCUUUGACGUAGCCGGAGGAGGGUCAGAAACAGACGCCUACAAGCAUAUGGCGGCUGCUCUAACCGUGCUUCGGUCGCUUGGCAGCGCCAAGACAACGUCCAACUCAGAAUCUAGUCGUUUUGGUCAUUUUAUCGAAAUUCAGGUCACAGAUGGCGCCCUCUAUCGGACUAAAAUGCAUUGUUAUUUUCUUGAUCAGG